UCCCAUUUUCCCACAUUUCCUGUUUUCCCUGAUCCCACAAAUCCCAAUUUCCCAUUUUUCCCAAAUCCCAAAUUUCCCAUUUCCUUGUUCCCUGAUCCCAGCAAUCCCAAAUUUCCCAAUUUUUCCCAAAUCCCAUUUAUCCCAAAUUUCCCAAAUUUCCCAUUUAUCCCAAAUCCCAUUUAUCCCAAUUUCCCCAAAUUUCCCAUUUCCUUUUUCCCAGAUCCCAGCAAUCCCAAAUUUCCCUUUUUUUCCCAAAUUUCCCAUUUUUCCCAAAUCCCAAAAUUCCCAUUUCCUUUUUCGCUGAUCCCAUUUAUCCCAAAUUUCCCAAUUUUUCCACAUUUCCCAAAUCCCAAUUCUCCCAAUUUUCCAUUUUUCCUAAAUCCCAAAUUUCCCAUUUCCUUUUUCCCCAAAUCCCAUUUAUCCCAAAUUUCCGCAUUUUUCCCACAUUUCCCAUUUGCCCAAAUCCCAUUUACCCCAAUUUCCCAUUUAUCCCAAAUUUCCCAUUUUUCCAAAUCCCAUUUUUCCCACAUUUUUCCCAAUUUUCCCAAAUCCCAUUUAUCCAAAAUUUCCCAAUUUUCCCACAUCCCAUUUAUCCUAAUUUUCCAUUUCCCAAUUUUUCCCUGAUCCCAGCAAUCCCAAAUUUACCAAUUUUCCCGACUUUUUCCCAUUUUCCCAAAUCCCAUUUAUCCCAAAUUUCCCAUUUUUCCCCCAUUUAUCCCAAAUUCCCCAAAUUUCCCAAAUCCCAUUUAUCCCAAUUUUCCCAUUUUUCCCCCAUUUAUCCCAAAUUCCGCAAAUUUCCCAUUUCCUUUUUCGCUGAUUCCCAGCAAUCCCAAAUUUCCAAAAUGUUCCCACUUUUUCCCAUUUUUCCCACAUUUCCCAUUUUUCCCAAAUUACCCAUUUAUCCCAAAUUUCCCAUUUAUCCCAAAUUUCCCAUUUCCUUUUUUGCUGAUUCCCAGCAAUCCCAAAUUUCCCCAUUUUUCCCACAUUUCCCAAUUUUCCCCAAAUCCCAUUUAUCCCAAAUUUCCCAUCUUUCCCACAUUUUCCCAAAUCCCAUUUAUCCCAAAUUUCCCAUUUUUCCCAAUUUCCAAUUUCCUUUUUCCCUGAUCCCAGCAAUCCCAAAUUUCCCAAUUUUUCCCAAAUCCCAUUUACCCCCCUUUAUCCCAAAUUUCCCAUUUUCCCAAAUCCCAAAUUUCCCAAUUUUUCCCAAAUCCCAUUUAUCCCAAAACCCAAAUUUCCCAUUUCCUUUUUCCCUGAUCCCAGCAAUCCCAAAUUUCCCAAUUUUUCCCAAAUCCCAUUUAUCCCAAAUUUCCAAAUUUUCCAAAUCCCAUUUAUCCCAAAUUUUCCCACUUUUUCCCAUUUUCCCAAAUCCCAUUUAUCCCAAAUUUCCCAUUUUCCCAAAUCCCAUUUAUUCCAAAUUUCCCAUUUUUCCCACAUUUUUCCCACAUUUUUCCCACAUUUAUCCCAAUUUUCCCACAUUUUCCCAAAUCCCAUUUAUCCCAAAUUUCCCAUUUUUCCCCCAUUUAUCCCAAAUUUCCCAAAUUUCCCAUUUUUCCCAAAUCCCAAAUUUCCUAUUUCCUUUUUCGCUGAUCCCAGCAAUCCCAAAUUUCCAAAAUUUUCCCACUUUUCCCCAUUUUCCCAAAUCCCAUUUUCCCCACAUUUCCCAUUUUCCCCAAAUCCCAUUUAUCCCAGUUUCCCAAUUUAUCCCAAAUUUCCCAUCUUUCCCCACAUUUAUCCCAAAUUUCCCAUUUUCCCCAAAUCCCAUUUAUCCCAAAUUUCCCAUCUUUCCCACAUUUAUCCCAAAUUUCCCAUUUUUCCCACAUUUAUCCCAAUUUUCCCCACAUUUCCCAAAUCCCAUUUAUCCCAGAUUUCCAAUUUUUCCCAAAUCCCAAAAUUCCCAUCUCCUUUUUCCCUAAAUCCCAGGAAUCCCAAAUUUCCCAAUUUUUCCCAAAUCCCAUUUAUCCCAAAUUCCCCAAAUUUCCCAUUUCCUUUUUCCCAGAUCCCAGCAAUCCCAAAUUUCCCUUUUUUUCCCAAAUUUCCCAUUUUCCCAAAUCCCAAAUUUCCCAUUUCCUUUUUCGCUGAUCCCAUUUAUCCCAAAUUUCCCAAUUUUCCCACAUUUCCCAAAUCCCAUUUAUCCCAAAUUCCCCAAAUUUCCCAUUUUUCCCAAAUCCCAAAUUUCCCAUUUCCUUUUUCGCUGAUCCCAGCAAUCCCAAAUUUCCAAAAUUUUCCCACUUUU
rnacentral:lncRNA from 1 species